rnacentral:sRNA from 1 species
ACGGUGAGGAUUACGGGUUGGCCGGCGGC